CCUACGGGAGGCAGCAGUGGGGCAUCUUGCACAAUGGGGGGAACCCUGAUGCAGCGACGCCGCGUGGGUUCCUGCGCACCUCGGUGCGUCCCUCCCUCUCUUCCUUUAAUCCCCCUCCUUUCCCUGCCUCCGCCGCCCCGGCUCCCUCCGUGCCCGCCGCCGCGGUCCUCCGUCGGGGGCCCGCGUUCUCCUGAUCCCCUGGUGGUACCGGGAGCGUCGACUUCUCCGCCCUUCUUGCGUGAAAGCCCUUGGCCCACCCCCGGGACUGCUCUGGAAACUGCGGCGCUGGAGUACGGGAGGGGCAGGCGGAAUUCCUGGUGUAGCGGUGAAAUGCGUAGAUAUCAGGAGGAACACCGGCGGCGAAGGCGGCCUGCUGGACCGUGACUGACGUGGAGGCGCGAGAGCGUGGGGAGCAAACAGGAUGAGAGACCCGAGUAGUC
rnacentral:rRNA from 1 species